CCUACGGGAGGCAGCAGUGGGGAAUUUUGGACAAUGGGGGAAACCCUGAUCCAGCCAUGCCGCGUGCGGGAAGAAGGCCUUCGGGUUGUAAACCGCUUUUGGCAGGAACGAAACGGCGCGUGCUAAUACCGCGCGCUAAUGACGGUACCUGCAGAAUAAGCACCGGCUAACUACGUGCCAGCAGCCGCGGUAAUACGUAGGGUGCAAGCGUUAAUCGGAAUUACUGGGCGUAAAGCGUACGCAGGCGGCUGUGCAAGACAGGUGUGAAAUCCCCGGGCCCAACCUGGGAACUGCAUUUGUGACUGCAUAGCUAGAGUCCGUAAGGGGGGGGUGGAAUUCCACGUGUAGCAGUGAAAUGCGUAGAGAUGUGGAGGAACACCGAUGGCGAAGGCAGCCCCCUGGGAUGAGACUGACGCUCAUGUACGAAAGCGUGGGGAGCAAACAGGAUUAGAUACCCUGGUAGUCCACGCCCUAAACGAUGUCGACUAGUUGUCGGGUCUUUACAGACUUGGUAACGCAGCUAACGCGUGAAGUCGACCGCCUGGGGAGUACGGUCGCAAGAUUAAAACUCAAAGGAAUUGACGG
rnacentral:rRNA from 1 species